rnacentral:lncRNA from 1 species
AUGCACCGUUGUGGGUCCCAGACAACACCACCACAACAACAACAACAACAACAUGUAGAGCAGAUCUUUCCCAGAAGCCCCUCUCUCUCUCUCUCUCUCUCUCUCAGGUCCUCACUGUUAUUCACCCUCGAACGCUGCCUGCUUAUCUUUCUUUUUCCUUUCUUUGCCUCGCUGUUGCGACAGUCUCCAGGGGUGUCCAUGCGCACUUCCUCCCCGUCUUUGCCUCCCCCCCUACACUUCCUCACUCCUCUCUCCCCACCGCCCCCUCUCCAUGCAGUGUGGUAUCGUCCGACGACCGAGGAGGGGGAGAGAGAGGCCGAGCGCGCAGUUGUCGGCUGCAGGUCGUUCGGAGCGGGACGCGCGCAGCGGCUGAGGACGCGGCACCACGGACCCCACAGUCUCUCGCUUAUUCUGGCUGAUUCUCUCCUCAUUCUCUGCACCUGGCUUUGGCACCAACUUGGGGAAUACAAAACAUCUUUCGAAGCUGUAUCCCGGAGGCCCACCUUGGCAGUUAGAGGAGAGGUCAUCACCAUGACGGCGUCCUCGCAGGACUCCACGCCCUCGUCCGUGGCCCGCCUCGUCCUGCCCCUGCUCCUCCUCCUCCUCCUCCUCCUCCUCCCGGCUGUAUUCGCGCAGAACUCCGUCCCGACGAGUCCGACCCCGCCGCCGUUUGACCCGCUGACCCGGCCGGAGUGCACAAAGAAGGAACAUCCGAAGGUCUCCAUCCAAGGUCAGACCUCCUUUGGAACCGCUCGUUCCCACAUCUGAUAACGCGACACACAACGUUUACAGGGACACAAGGAAACUGGGAGAAAAGCAGGUUACGUACACAGAAGCCGGAUAGUAAUCAGAUACUAGGGCUGCAGCUAACGGUCAUUGUCAUAAUCGAAAAAUCUGUCCAUUAUUUUCCGGAAUAAUCGAUUAGUUCUUUGGUCCAUAAUAUGUCAUAAAAUUGUGAAAAAUGACCAUCCUUUUCCCCCCAAACACAAGAUGAUGUUUUGUUUUGUCCACACACCAAAGAUAUUCGGUUCACUGUCA